rnacentral:rRNA from 1 species
GGCCUACCAUGGUGGUAACGGGUAACGGGGUGUUAGGGCACGACACCGGAGAGGGUGCCUGAGAAACGGCUACCACAUCCAAGGAUGGCAGCAGGCGCGCAAAUUACCCAAUCCCGACACGGGGAGGUAGUGACAAUAAAUAACAAUACGGGGUUCUUUCGGAUUUCGUAAUUGGAAUGAGUACAAUUUAAAUCUCUUAACGAGGAACGAUUGGAGGGCAAGUCUGGUGCCAGCAGCCGCGGUAAUUCCAGCUCCAAUAGCGUAUAUUAAAGUUGUUGCAGUUAAAAAGCUCGUAGUUGAACUUCGGGAUUUGUCCAUUGGUCAGGCUUAACUGUCUGUACUGGUGUGACGAAUUCCAACCUUCUGAGGAAUUUUCAUGCCAUUAAGUUGGUGUGGGGUGGAAUCGGGACUGUUACUUUGAAAAAAUUAGAGUGUUUAAAGCAGGCUAACGUCUGAAUACAUUAGCAUGGAAUAACAAUAUAGGACGGCUGGUCCUAUUUUGUUGGUUUCUAGGAUCACCGUAAUGAUUAAUAGGGAUAGUUGGGGGCAUUAGUAUUCAAUUGACAGAGGUGAAAUUCUUGGAUUUAUUGAAGACUAACUACUGCGAAAGCAUUUGCCAAGGAUGUUUUCAUUAAUCAAGAACGAAAGUUAGGGGAUCGAAGACGAUCAGAUACCGUCGUAGUCUUAACCAUAAACUAUGCCGACUAGGAAUCGGACGAAGUUAAUUUUUAAAUGACUCGUUCGGCACCUUACGGGAAACCAAAGUGUUUGGGUUC